rnacentral:tmRNA from 1 species
GGGGAUGCAAAGGUUUCGACAGGGUUGUGAGGUUAUAGGUAGCAGGCCAGGUUGACCGCUGUGAGAGGUCAACUCAUCGUUUAGAUGGAAACAAUAAUUACGCUUUAGCUGCAUAAUGUCAGCUCGCCUUUGAACUUUCUCUUCUGUAGGAGAGUUCAGUCUAGGUGUAACCUAAGUACAGAUUACCCUAAGUGAUUUCUCUAAGCUUUUGGGGACAUUUAAGAGAAUAGCUUUAGUUAGCCCUGUUUGUGGGAAUAUCUAUCGCGAAUUCUAAUAGCAAACUAAGCUUGUAGAAGCUUAUGGCACUUGCAAUUUUGGACACGGGUUCGAUUCCCGUCAUCUCCACCA